rnacentral:RNase_P_RNA from 1 species
GGAGAGGGCCGGGUGGUCGCCUCUCUCGCCGCAAGGCGAGGGGGGAGGAAAGUCCGGACUCCACAGGGCAGGGUGGUCGGUAACGCCGACCGGGGGUGACCCCAGGGAAAGUGCCACAGAAAACACACCGCCCCGCGGAGCGGUCCGCAAGGAGCGCGAGGCGGGGUAAGGGUGAAAAGGUGCGGUAAGAGCGCACCGCGGUCCUGGUGACAGGGCCGGCACGGCAAACCCCACCCGGAGCAAGGCCGAAUAGGGGAGCGUCUCCGUUGGCAACGGCGGGGUCGUAGGAUGGCCCGUCCGAGACUCCCGGGUUGGCCGCUAGAGCCCCGCAGCAAUGCGGGGUCGAGAGAAAUGAUCACCGGCUCCGGCAACGGCGCGUCACAGAAUCCGGCUUACAGGCCCUCUCCGGCU